ensembl:lncRNA
CUUUAUUUUGCUUUUCGCCCUCUCUCACUCCCUCCUCCUGCCCAGAAGGUUCCCAGAGCUUGGCGACCCCAGGCCGAGGAGGCCUGCUGCCCACCCAGGUCCCCACCUGUCCGAGUGGCGGCUCCCGCCUCCAUCAGGCUCGGCGCGGGUCGGGGUCCACACUGACUGGCCUCGAGCGUGUGCACACCGGUGGGUACGGAUGUGAGAGUGCGCGCGAGGGGGGGCCAGGGCGGCUUCCGGGUUCUGCUGCCACCUCCCCCGCCUCGGCUCAGUCCAUGCUCCCCGGGAGGUCAGACCCAACUCCAAAGUUAGGAACAACAACAAAAAAAAACUCAAGAAAACAAAAUACACGUACGUCAUCCGAGUCCUUUGCAUAGAAGAGCCCAUACGGCUCCAAAAUCGCGGUCUCCGGCUCGCCCCAGCAGGCAUCCUUCUUCCCUUUACUCCUACAGGGCUAGACACUGGUCCCACGGCUCUUUUGCCGCUGGCCCGGGGAGAGCAAGCAGAAGUCGGCGCACCAGGCUCUCGGCGCUCGGGCUCCCGGCCAGCGCCUCCUCGCCGCCCUCCCCACCGGCCCCCGGGCGCGAGCCAGGCCGCGCCCCCCUUUCGUCCACUGGGGUGCAACCUCCCCGACCCCCUUCCUGGGGAGGGUGCGGGGAAACUCCGGGUUCCAACCGAGAUCCGCGCUGCUGGCAGCUGGCGGGGAGAAACCAGAGCUGGGGGGCGACGGUGCAGCCGGGCGCCAGCGUGUUUGUACGUGACUCUGUGUGAGAGACUCCAGGUGGACCAAGAAACCCAGAUUUCAGGAAUCACAAGUUGCCAGACAAGAGUGCUCUGCGAGGAGCUGAUCGAGACGCGGGAACUUCGGCGGCGCUGGUGCGGAAAACGCUGGCUCCAAAGUACACAGCUCAGAUUUGCCUCUGUGGAGGGACCGACAGAAGAAAAAGAACGGAUUCAUUUUGCACAUUUCAUUCAGAUGUUGCGGGUCUACAAAGCCAUCCGGAGAGACAGAGAGAUAAGGAGAGAAACAAGGAAAGCGGAGAAUGCGGGUCCUCUGCAGGCCAGUGAGAAACUCUGCCGUCCUUGAGAACCUUCAGCUGGUGCUACGUGGAAGGGGUUGUGCUGAUGGUUGGCUCCAACUCACCCAGGCCCUGGUGAAAGAACUUUCCAGGCAGAGGAAAAGGAGAUAUCUGAACCUUGAGCCAAAAUACACCAAAGAAGAGGUUCUCCUCACAUCCUCUACCUCCUGGAAGUUACAGGGCAAGCACUGUGGAGACUGUGCAAGCACUGUGGAGUGCUCCUGUGGUUACUAUAUUAUAGAUGGCCACAGGGACAGCCAGCCUGCAGACUCAGACAGCAGCUCCACCCCCAGCUCACGCCACCCUGAGUGCAAAUACGUAAUGGAAGCAAUAG